rnacentral:rRNA from 1 species
UACAGAGGUCUCGAGCGUUGUUCGGAUUCAUUGGGCGUAAAGGGUGCGUAGGUGGCGGGGUAAGUCAGGUGUGAAAUCCCGGGGCUCAACCCCGGAACUGCAUUUGAUACUGCCUUGCUCGAGUACUGGAGAGGAGACUGGAAUUUACGGUGUAGCAGUGAAAUGCGUAGAUAUCGUAAGGAAGACCAGUGGCGAAGGCGAGUAUCUGGACAGUUACUGACACUGAGGCACGAAGGCCAGGGGAGCAAACGGG